rfam:Actinobacteria bacterium GWC2_53_9 gwc2_scaffold_12744, whole genome shotgun sequence.
CCGUGCUAGGUGGGGAGGUAGCGGUGCCCUGUAUCCGCAAUCCGCUAUAGCGGGACUGAAUCCCUGCUCCAGGCUCCCCGGUUGUGAGGUCGGUUGUUACGCAAGUGGUGUUGAAGGCUGGGUCCUGCGCAACGGAGACUCGUGAACCCCGUCAGGUCCGGGAGGAAGCAGCGGUAAACGAUCUUUUCCGUGUGCCGUGGGGAAGCCUGGCCGGAGCUAACUACGUGGCAACGCUUGGGGCCGGAUGUCAAAAGCAGGUGCACGG